GGAGGCAGUGGUUGCAGCAGUGAGCCAAGAUCAUGGCACUGCACUCCAUCCAGUCUGGAUGACAGAGCGAGACUCUGAAGAAAGAAAGAGAGAAAGAGACAGAGAGAGAGAAAAAGAGAGAGAGAGAGGGAGGGAGGGAGGGGGGAGGGAGGAAGAGAAGGAUAACUCAGCAUUUGUCAGGCUACACUUUAACCCACUUCCUUCUAACUGAAAGUCACGUAGCGCUAGUGACUAUCUGCACCCCUACUGUUCCUAUGGACGGAAUCUCUGACUUCAGAAUCAUGAGGCUUUUGUUUAAGAAUUCCUUAAGACGUUUCAGAUCCUUAAUUCCAGGCCAACCAGUUUGAAGAGCCCCACAGAGGAAGUGAACCAGCAUGAGAAUACAGCAUCUUCAACCCCACCCCAUGACUCCACCCUGCUUCACCCUGCACUUCUCCACCGGCUUUUCCCCGGCUCUGCCCCCGCCUGCUGAGGAAUCUCGGUCAACACAAGAGAGGACGGCGACUCCCUUGUACAGCAAGUCCUGAAUAAAUCGUCUUUUGUUCUCAUUUGCGUGGGCUUUAUUUCCACAGCUGUUAUCCUCCUAUUUGUAAAACGGAGGCACCUGGGACCAGCUCCAGCAAGGAGAGUGAGGAUCCGACUCCAGGAAGCACCUCAGGAACAAAGGCCUCAAGGCCAACACCUUCCACGGCACAAGCCCAACAGAGCUGCAGGAACCGUACAAGCAGCGGGAACAUCCCUUUCUCUUCUUGACUAUGUUUUCCCCUGAUGCUUUGCUUUCCACAUAGAAGAGUUUUCCAUUUUCGUGGGGUCAACUCUGCCUUCACUCAUUCAACAAUGAUGGGGGGCUCUGCCCCGCUCCCCCCAGGCUUCAACCACACCUGACUGCCCACCCCUUUGGGCCCUUCCCUGAAGUGACAGACCAGGCUGUGCCCUGGCAGGUAAGAGAAAGGACCCCACAACCCAUUCAUGGGCCGCUCCAGCUGGGGCCUUGCAUGCAGGAGCGGACCAGUCCCCCUGAGGGACAGCCCUUGGGUGGGGGCUCUGGGUCAUUUUGAGGAGUCAAUCACACCAACAGGUGCCUAGCACAGGCCCCACCCCCACCCCAAAUAAGGCAAGCGACCCUUCCCUUCCGCAGGUGGUCCAGUCUAACAGAAACCCUAAACCAAAGGGACUGUGUGGUGGCUCAAGCCUGUCAUCCCAGCACUUUGGGGGAUGGAUCGAUUUUAGCCUAGGAGUUCAAGACCAGCCUGGGCAAUAUAGUGAGACUCCAUCUCUACAAAAACACUUUUUAAAAAAAUUAGGGGUGCAGUGGUUUAUGCCAAUAAUCCCAGCACUUUGGGAGGCCGAGGUGGACAGAUCGCUCAGAAGUUCCAGACCAGCCUGGGUAACAUGGUGAAACUCUCUGUCUCUAUAUAUGUGUGUGGUAGGGUGGGCCUGUGGUCCCAGCUACUAUAGCAGCUGAGGUGGGAAGAUCGCUUGAGCCCAGGAGGUCCAGGCUGCAAUGAGUUGUGAUCAGGCCACUGCACCCCAGCCUGGCCAACAGAGCAAGACUCUGUCAAAAAAAAAAAAAAGAAAGAAAGAAAAGAGGUCAGGUACGGUGGCUCACGCCUGUAAUUCCAGCACUUUGGGAGCCCGAGGCAGGUGGAUCACGAGGUCAGGAGUUCGAGACCAGCCUGGCCAAUAUGGUGAAACCCCGUCUCUACUAAAAACACAAAAAUUAGCUGCGCAUGAAGGCGCGCGCCUGUAGUCCCAGCUACUCGGGAGGCCGAGGCAGGAGAAUGGUGUGAACCCCGGAGGCGGAGCUUGCAGUGAGCCGAGAUUGCGCCACUGCACUCCAGCCUAGGCGACAGAUCCAGACUCCGUCUCAAAA
rnacentral:lncRNA from 1 species